rnacentral:rRNA from 1 species
UACGGAGGAUGCAAGCGUUAUCCGGAUUUAUUGGGUUUAAAGGGUCCGCAGGCGGGAUCAUAAGUCAGUGGUGAAAUCCUAUAGCUUAACUAUAGAACUGCCAUUGAUACUGUGAUUCUUGAAUGUAGUUGACGUGGGCGGAAUAUGACAUGUAGCGGUGAAAUGCUUAGAUAUGUCAUAGAACACCAAUUGCGAAGGCAGCUCACGAAACUAUUAUUGACGCUCAGGGACGAAAGUGUGGGUAGCAAACAGGAUUAGAUACCCUGGUAGUCCACACCGUAAACGUUGAUCACUAGAUGUCGGCGAUACACAGUCGGUGUCCAAGCGAAAGUGUUAAGUGAUCCACCUGGGGAGUACGACCGCAAGGUUG